CUCACCGCCCCGCUUUCCCGAGGACAGGGGUGGGGCGGGGCUUACGCCCUGCGGCACGUUCACGGGCAGGCGGGAUUACGUAUCGGUGACGUCAGGGGGCGUGGGGGCAGCCCCUGGCUUCCCUUGGGCAGGCCCUGGGCGAGGGCAGCUGGUCUCCCGCAUCCUUCGCGGAGCUCCGCCCGGCCAUUUUGGGCUUUCCGAGUCCAGGGCGUCGACCUGUCACGACUUCACUGCAGCAUCGGGGCUGCCGCGUGCUUUUCUAUUUUCAUUUCUCGUCUCUACCUGCAAUCGAGGCAGCUCAUUUUACUGCACUUGUUUGCCUGGUAAAUUCACGAAUCAAGGUGCCAAUUAUGUGUAGGAUGCCUGCUGGAUAAGGAGGGAUGAAACGUACUCAAACACAAAUGGAAGGUGGUUUCCCUGCAACAGUUGAUGGCCAAGGAUAUCAAACCUUAAACUCAGAACAUGGCAGGUGAGUAAAAGUUGACCCUAUUUUUCAAAUAAAAGAUCAGUGUUCUCAAAACUUACAUAUGUAGUCUUCUUAAACAGCUCCCUCCUCCCUCCAAACAAACUACCUCGCUGGUCCAGCCUGAACAACAUGCACCAAGACUUUGGCUUCCUUAGAACAAGCCAUUGAGACUUCCUCUUGAGAUAGGGGCAUCCAGAGAAAGGAUUCACACAUUUAUUCACAACUCAGGCUCCUCAAGGGUUUGGGAUCUCCCCAAUCAGACUCCUUCGUCCUGCUAUGCCCACAAUCUCAGAGGUGUUUGGAAUUUUCUGUGCUAGGGUAGAUAGAAUUUUCAAAAACAGCCAGUCACACAGAACAGCUCCAGACCAAGCCAUUUCCCAAUCCCGGACGGGAAGUUGCUUCAGUUUCUCUUAAGUUGUUACACAGCAUUGCCAUGGCAGCAAAAAGGUUAACCAUUAAGAAUGGACCUGUUCAACGACUGAACCAACAAAAACCUGAACCUAGAUCAGGAUCCUGGUCUAUCUCAUGUAGUCAAAUGUAAAGUCUAAUGAAUGUUAGAUAAUUAAGAAGAGUAAUCUAUCUUCCCCACUUAAUUUUGUCAACAGAACAGCCAAACAAAGCCUGGAGAAUGCUCUCAUCUUAUUGGAAUGGAUUACCAUGCCCAUCCCUGCUAUGGCAAGACACAAUGGUAGAAACUUAGGGCUGUGGUUCUAUCCAAGAAGGUUUCUCUCACCAUUACCCCGGAGUACCCACAGUGACUGUCAUAAACUAAUAUUGCAUGAUUGAAGGCACACUCCAGUUACUGGUUGAUGAAGGAGAUAGGGAAGCAUUUCUGUGUGGAAGCCAUAAAGGAAAAAAAAGGGAAUGAAGACCAAGGUCCCACACCCCACACCCUCCCCAAGCAGCUCAGAUAUCCCAAGAUAGUCCUUAUUGUUUGAAAAAUAGUUUGUAGACCAUUUUAUUUAAAUAUAUGAACAACCAAUGGGCUACUGCAAUCCAAGUAAACUCUUCACAUUUUAGAACCUUUGUGAAGUAUAGUAAGAUAAAGUAAGACUGUUGGUCUUUGGCAGAUUCCUCCUGCCCCCCAGACCGGGACAUAGAGAUACAGAUAAAUGUUUAUAUAGUUAAAGAGCGGAGGUCCAGGUGAAAAUCCCCCACCCCAAGAUGGCUCCCCAACCCAAAAAUUACCAUUGGCCCCUGAGAACACCCAAAGACCACCCUCCCAGGUUUCACACAAUAUCAAUUGCAGGAACAGUCGUGCAUGGCAAAGUAUAAGUUCUAUGCAUUUCACAGCACAGAAAACCCUUCUUUCAGAGGGCAUGCAAGUUGCCGAAGAUUACACCCCCAAGUCUGGUGCUCUUGUGAUGAGCAACUUACUGGCAAACACAUCUCCCAGUGUUGUAAGCAGGCAAAUACAUUGAGCACAUUUUGCCGUAAUUCCAUCUAUUUGCAAUGCCUGCACAGUGUCUGUCUCUGGCUGUUAACUUACUCAUUCUUGACAGAACUCUGCUUUAUUGAUUGCACUUUUUAAAAAAUGCCAAAGGCAUUUUCACACUUGUUAGCUUGACCGCCACCACUAGGGUAUAA